CGUAUUUAGGUUAUUUAAUAUAAGCUUGUCAGGUUUAAGAAGAUUUAAUUCCUC
rnacentral:tRNA from 1 species